UAAGGAAUAUUGGUCAAUGGACGCAAGUCUGAACCAGCCAUGCCGCGUGAAGGAUGAAGGUCCUCUGGAUUGUAAACUUCUUUUAUCUGGGACGAAAACGGGAUUUUUAUCUCAAUUGACGGUACCAGAGGAAUAAGCCCCGGCUAACUCCGUGCCAGCAGCCGCGGUAAUACGGAGGGUGCGAGCGUUAUCCGGAUUUACUGGGUUUAAAGGGUGCGUAGGUGGGCUUAUAAGUCAGUGGUGAAAUCUCCGAGCUUAACUUGGAAACUGCCGUUGAUACUAUAGGUCUUGAAUUAUCUGGAGGUAAGCGGAAUAUGUCAUGUAGCGGUGAAAUGCUUAGAUAUGACAUAGAACACCAAUUGCGAAGGCAGCUUACUACAUAUAAAUUGACGCUGAGGCACGAAAGCGCGGGGAUCAAACA
rnacentral:rRNA from 1 species